rnacentral:rRNA from 1 species
AAUCAACGCUGGCGGCGUGCCUAAUACAUGCAAGUCGAACGCGAAGACCCCGCAAGGGGUUGUUAGCGUGGCAAACGGGUGAGUAACGCGUGGGCGACCUGCCUUCGAGUGGGGGAUAACCUUCCGAAAGGAGGGCUAAUACCGCAUGACAUACUGCGCUUGGAUGCGCGGAUAUCAAAGCCGGGGAUCGCAAGACCUGG